UCGGCUUGAGUAACGAAAACAUUGGUGAGAAUCCAAUGCCCCGAAAACCCAAGGUUUCCUCCGCAAGGUUCGUCCACGGAGGGUGAGUCAGGGCCUAAGAUCAGGCCGAAAGGCGUAGUCGAUGGACAACAGGUCAAUAUUGCUGUACUACCCCUUGUUGGUACGGAGGGACGGAGGAGGCUAGGAGCCGAAAGAUGGUUAUAGG
rnacentral:ncRNA from 1 species